UGGCCAUUAGCCCCGCCCAUCCGCAGCCCUCUUCUCCCGCCCCUUCAGUCCUAGCUCCGCCUCCACAUUGCGCCUGCGCACUUGCAACCAUCUGCUCUUGAGCGCAGGGCCUGCGCAGGCGCCAGUAGGGCUCUCAGCCCUGCCCACCCCGGCCCUGGGCCCGCCUCCAUGGAAACCGCAGGAUCGAACAUGGGCCCCCUGCAUUGGAAGCAUGGAGUCUCAGCCACUGGACCACCGGGGAAGUCCCUGCUGAAAUGUUUAAACUUGAAUGCAGAGAAGGCCCCUUGAGGCAAUGUCACCCCCAUCAACAGGAAGACCCAAAUGGAAGAGAAGCCACCAGCAGCCAGCCUUUCUGCUAGAAAGGCUUUCUAGCAGACACACAGAGGGGAGAGAGAGCCACAGCCUGGGGGUGUAGCCCUCUCCAGCAAGAGGAAUACAAGGGCUUCAUGCUCCAGCUGGGGCACCUGACUCCGGAGGUUCCUGGACAUCCAGGCUCAUCGGCAUAUGCGCAGAAAGAAGCAAAUGGCCCCGGAUUCAUGGACAGUUCAUUGACAAGACCCAUCGGACCUCUUUCUUCCACACAAUGUGCAGAGUGUGCUCAGUGGAAGAGUGCAGAAAGUGAACGUGGAAAGUUCCAACCACAUUCCUACAGAGUUGGGACUCCUCGGGAAUCCCAAUGUGCCCUCGCUCUGCACAAAGGCACAGAAUUCUGACAUCAGGCUACCGCCAACUUCUGCCCCUGACUCAACAUUUCCCAUGCCCCACAUGCUGCCGUUGCCAAUAUGCGCCUCCUUUAGGAGUUUACCAAGGCACCUGAGGUGUGUGAGUGUUGAAGGAAGAAGUGUCUGGCUGCUAGAUCACUAGAACACACCAGCAACAGCAGCUCACUUUCAUGUGCC
ensembl:lncRNA